rnacentral:rRNA from 1 species
CGCCCGCGCGCUACACUGACGAAGCCAGCGAGUUAUUUCCUUCCUUGGCCGGAAGGUCUGGGUAAUCUUGUGAAACUUCGUCGUGCUGGGGAUAGACCAUUGCAAUUAUUGGUCUUCAACGAGGAAUUCCUAGUAAGCGUGAGUCAUCAGCUCGCGUUGAUUACGU